UUGAGUUCUUGAUGUGAAGCUUUAGUCUGUAUUAACCAGUUGUUUCUGUGUUGGUGGAAUGGAUCCUCAUGAGCCUGGAGGACCAGGUUGGGGUGGCUCUGGCCCUGGUUCUUGGGGGCCUUGGUUUGGUGGCUUUUUCGCAUCCUGCUUCUACCUCCUUUGUUGUUGCUGCCUGCUCCAAGAUUGCUGUGGCCCGUUGUUUGGACCCCCAGGCCCAGGCGGCUCACCACCACCACCCUUUUGAUAGCAGUCCAACAUAUCCACCACAAGGAAUGAUGCACCGAGUUACAAUUAUUGGCCUAAAUGUUAGCUGAAGAGCUUACUUUGGUGAACAUUCUGGCUGUUGGGAGUGUCUCUUGCUACUACAGUAUGCUCACUAGUGAAAACAGAUGUCCUGUUACUACUGUAUCUGUUGGAGAUCAUUGUAUGGUCUUACCUAGUUACCUGGUACUGAUGUUAUUUUAGUGAUGACAAGAUACAAUUAUCGGACACAA